rnacentral:rRNA from 1 species
UACGAAGGGUGCAAGCGUUACUCGGAAUUACUGGGCGUAAAGCGUGCGUAGGUGGUUCGUUAAGUCCGAUGGUGAAGCCCUGGGCUCAACCUGGGAAUGGCAUUGGAUACUGGCGGGCUAGAGUGCGGUAGAGGGCAGGUGGGAAUUCCCGGUGUAGCAGUGAAAUGCGUAGAGAUCGGGAGGAACAUCUGUGGCGAAGGCGACUGCCUGGACCAGCACUGACAUCUGAGGCACGAAAGCGUGGGAGCAACAGGGAU